rnacentral:lncRNA from 1 species
UAUAUUUUUAAAAGAUUUUAUUUAUUUAUUUAUUUAAUUGAGAGAAAGAGAGAGGAGAGAGAGACAGAGCACAAGCAGGGGGAGCAACAGAGGCAGAGGGAGAAGCAGACUCCUCGUGGAGCAGGGAGCCCGAUGCGGGACUUGAUCCCAGGACCCUGAGAUCUGACCUGGGCUGAAGGCAGACCAUUCACCCAGUGCCCCAAAACUUUGUUUUUAAAAUAAAAGAAAUAAAACAUUUUUAUGCUCCCCGUCCCGCCGCUUACCUUCCUGUAGCUGCCGAGGUGACACUGUCACGGAUAUGCACCCGCGUGUCACCACAGGGGGCUGCCGCUCCCUCUGCAUAUGACAGAAUCAGCCACAGAAGGACGUGGGUGCACAGAGCAUGGAGUUUGGGGUCAGGCGGACCAGGGUUUGAGGACUGCCUCGCCACCUCUGGCCUGGGUCCUCUGGCCUCUGAACCUCAGCUUCCCCGUCCGUAACCUGGUGUUGAUUAGCUUGUAGCAUUGUUGUUGACAUUGGAGAUAAUGCUUACGUGGUUGGGUCAAUAAAGGAAUCGAUAUGAUUCAACAACUUUUCUCCCUUUUUUCCUAGGUGGGAAGCCCUUUGAGAGCAGGGCAGCUGCCCCAGCCUGUAUUAAAUACCCUCUGUAUUCUUGGCAAUGCUUCCUGGCUCAGCGUAGAAGCUAAUUAGUUGUUUCUUGAAGAAAUGAUUGAAAUGCCCCAGCCCCACUCCCGCCUCAACGCAGACAGAUGCAAGGGCCUGUGUGCCCAGGGGGCAUGGGGACGGUUGAGCUGAGGACGCUUACCAGGUUCUGUAGCCUCGCCUCGAACCACACAUCACCCAGUGUCAUGGUGAAGGAGGGCGUGCGGAGCCACAUUAUUGCACUUGAUGUUCUUAAAUCAUGGAUUUGACAUGGCUGAUGGUUCAGGUGCAUUUUUGCAAUAUUGUGCCCUCACUCCACUGCUAAAUGCUCAUUUUGCAGUCCCCACCACCCCCUGCUGCCCCGGCCGCACCAUGGUCGGGACAUCUGUCUCUGGCAGAACAUGGGAAAUACAGGGCACGGGACAUGGGGAACACAUGGAACAGGUCACAGGGGACACAGAGGACGCAGGACACAGAUACGGGCAGGAAGGGGACAGCAGGGGGCGCCAAACCCGCACAUUUGUGCCGGGAGACGGCGCCUGACAGAGCGACAGGGCCUCAGGCUCCCGUUUUUUUUUGUUUUUCUUCGUCUGCCCCUCCCUCACUUUCCGGGGAUUUGGUCAUUUCCUUGGUCAUAGUUGGAUUCCCAGCUCGUGGUCAAACAGACCAACCCCACCCUUUCCUUCUGGAAGCUGACACCAAAAGCUGCCCCAAGGUUGUGGGGAUUCCCGGGCAGGAUGGAGGUCGGGGCCCGGCUGCCAUGCGGUGCAGUGGUCCCCGCAGAGACCCGCGGUCAGUCAUCAUCCCUUGGCGUCACACUGUGCGGAGAGCCCAGGGACGCAGUCACCGCUGUCACCCGGGGUCCAAUCCCUCAACACCUCGAUGA